GAGUCCCUUCUUUCCGCUCCAACGCACGGAGGGUGAGGUCGGUACGCGGUGGUGGCGUCACGGCGCCAGCUCCUCCCGACGCCGAGAUUGGGUAACUCAAGGCGUCCCUGGAGUACACUGAGGAUAAGUGUUUGAGAAAUGCUGUCUGAAGGAAUGAAGUCAGUCUAUGACAACGUCUCUCUGCCGUGAAUCAUUCCUGCAGAUGAAAAAGUGUGACUUGGCAGCUGCCAAUCUAAAAAGGGCCCUCAGGAUCGCCCACAAUGCCCAGCUUAGCUUCUUGACAAACACCUUAAUGGCGCAGCAUUGCCUGUUGGCUGCCAUCGGCUCUUGAGUGGGUGGAUGGGGGUGAGAAAAGAGACAGAUUUAAGAGACAAUGGGCAUACAAGAAGAGGGAAAGGAGUUUGGAGUGAUGGCAAAUCGAGAAAGAUGGAUGGUAGCAUCUUCACAGAAACGGAGUCCUCAUGUGGAGGAACUGGCUUGAAGGAGGUGACAAGGAGCUCGGUUUUAGACUUGCUGAAACUGGGGUGACCACAAGAUCUGUGAGAUG
rnacentral:lncRNA from 1 species